ncrna:unclassified sequences GA-cis RNA
AAGAGGAAACGCGCUUAUGAACGAAGUUCAUAACUCUCAUGCGCGUGACGACCUGCCGCUGAGCGGAGGCGAGGGGGUGAUAUCCGAU